rnacentral:rRNA from 1 species
AGUGAACGCUGGCGGUAGGCCUAAUACAUGCAAGUCGAACGGCAGCACAGUAAGAGCUUGCUCUUACGGGUGGCGAGUGGCGGACGGGUGAGGAAUACAUCGGAAUCUACUUUUUCGUGGGGGAUAACGUAGGGAAACUUACGCUAAUACCGCAUACGACCUACGGGUGAAAGCAGGGGAUCUUCGGACCUUGCGCGAUUGAAUGAGCCGAUGUCGGAUUAGCUAGUUGGCGGGGUAAAGGCCCACCAAGGCGACGAUCCGUAGCUGGUCUGAGAGGAUGAUCAGCCACACUGGAACUGAGACACGGUCCAGACUCCUACGGGAGGCAGCAGUGGGGAAUAUUGGACAAUGGGCGCAAGCCUGAUCCAGCAAUACCGCGUGGGUGAAGAAGGCCUUCGGGUUGUAAAGCCCUUUUGUUGGGAAAGAAAAGAAGCAGGUUAAUACCCCGCUGUUCUGACGGUACCCAAAGAAUAAGCACCGGCUAACUUCGUG